rnacentral:rRNA from 1 species
AGCGCAGACGGCGAAGCAAGUCUGAAGUGAAAUGCAUGGGCUCAACCCAUGAAUUGCUUUGGAAACUGUUUGGCUUGAGUGUCGGAGGGGUAAGCGGAAUUCCUAGUGUAGCGGUGAAAUGCGUAGAUAUUAGGAGGAACACCGGAGGCGAAGGCGGCUUACUGGACGACAACUGACGCUGAGGUGCGAAAGCGUGGGGAGCAAACA